UACGGAAGGCAGCAGUGGGGAAUAUUGCACAAUGGGCGCAAGCCUGAUGCAGCCAUGCCGCGUGUAUGAAGAAGGCCUUCGGGUUGUAAAGUACUUUCAGUCGUGAGGAAGGUGUUAAGGUUAAUAACCUUAGCAAUUGACGUUAGCGACAGAAGAAGCACCGGCUAACUCCGUGCCAGCAGCCGCGGUAAUACGGAGGGUGCGAGCGUUAAUCGGAAUUACUGGGCGUAAAGGGCACGCAGGCGGUUAAUUAAGUUGGAUGUGAAAUCCCCGGGCUUAACCUGGGAAUGGCAUUCAAGACUGGUUAGCUAGAGUCCUGUAGAGGGGGUAGAAUUCCAUGUGUAGCGGUGAAAUGCGUAGAGAUGUGGAGGAAUACCGGUGGCGAAGGCGGCCCCUGGACAAAGACUGACGCUCAUGUGCGAAAAGCGUGGGGAGCAAAACAGGGAUUAGAUACC
rnacentral:rRNA from 1 species